CUCACGGUUACAGCUCUCGCAGCUCUCGCGCUUGACCCCGGCAACGGACAUUCCAUGCCCUGAUCGCUGAAGGGUAGUCUUGCUGUGGCGAGCAGCAACCCCGAGCUUAGUCCCGAGCCCCGUGCUUCGAGCCCCUCUCUUGCGCAGCCUGUCUUCUGUGACUCGUCCGUGCAGGACGCCCUUGCUCGACGGUCGAGUUCCGAGACUGCGCUUCGAUUCACGUCGGCGAUUUCGACACCAGCAGACUUCUCUGAAGGGCGCACCCUAGGCACCGGCCACCACGUGACCCCGAGUUCCUAAGCGAGUCUCGAAAGGCAAGCCGCGUCCCAGUAGCAAUCAUGGGGGACCCAUCGCAGUUCAGCAGUGCCACUUCACUGAUGUCUGGGAUGUCUCAGAUGCAAUCAAGUGGCUUCGAAUCAGGUAUCUCAGAUAAGUAUCUGCGAAGUGUCCACAGUUGCACUUUUUUUAUCAAAGCGCCCACGUAAAGUUACCCGGAGCUCUAGCUCCCUGGUCUAUAACAUUCAAUGAUUUAAAAUGCAGUCAUAGGCGUCACCGUUGCUGACAAUCGAACUGUUUCAUCGGGCAGAUUUAUUAGCGUAUGUCCGUAUUGCAAUAAAAACGAUUCGCUAAUACUGAAUCGCUCCAGCGCCUCGCGGCCAUGUAGACAUUUAUGACAGCUAUAAACUAACAUAACUUCAAGAGAACUUGGACGGCCAUAGUUUCAGAUGGGGAACACGUAACCCAGCCUCUCUGAAAUGUUCAGCGCUUGAAUACUACUGAGUGUGCCACGGAAAACAUGCCAAAUUUGGCGUUUUUCGUACCGGAACACAGCCAAAUAUAAAUAUCCGCCGUUGUCGCCCGACUUAUAUGACCCGGCAAGACCUCCGAGAUCCGGCGACGCCCGCUGCGCCCUGAACAUCUCGGAGGCCAUCGGGAACCGGUAUUGCCUGCUUGAUCCAAUUUCAACAUACUUUCAAACAAUUACUAGA